GGUUGGCCCAGUGGUUAAGAGCACUGACUGUUCUUCCCGAGGUCCUGAGUUCAAUUCCCAGCAACCA
rnacentral:tRNA from 1 species